rnacentral:tRNA from 1 species
GGGCAUGUAGCUCAGCUGGUUAGAGCGUCGCUCUUAUAAGGCGAAUGUCCCUGGUUCGAAUCCAGGCGUGCCCACCA